UUCCAAUCGACCCUCGACGCAUAGGCUAAAAUAAAAAGCUGCAUCAAAACAAAGACAAAAUUAGAAACAAAAGCAAGACAAAACAAAAUAAUAAAGCAUAAGUAAUCCCGCAGAAAUAACGUAAAUAACUAUGAAAACAUAGGAAACAUAAAUACAGUCGCAUGCAAUAAUAACAAGCAGUAACUACCAUACUAACAACCAUAAGGGGACAUA
rnacentral:lncRNA from 1 species